rnacentral:pre_miRNA from 1 species
UUUUGAGGAUGAGCAAAGGAAGUGGUUUCUUGAGAUGGAAAUUACUCUGGAUGAAGAUGCUGUGAA